UUGAGGCCACAUCACCUUGGAAUACCUGUUCCCGUACGAUCACCGAAGUUAAGCAACGUUGAGCCUGAGCAAUAGUUAGAUUGAUCAGCGCUUGGGAAUAACACGAACUGCGA